rnacentral:rRNA from 1 species
UACGUAGGGUGCAAGCGUUGUCCGGAAUUAUUGGGCGUAAAGAGCUCGUAGGCGGUUUGUCACGUCGGGAGUGAAAACUCAGGGCUCAACCCUGAGCGUGCUUCCGAUACGGGCAGGCUAGAGUUCGGUAGGGGAGACUGGAAUUCCUGGUGUAGCGGUGAAAUGCGCAGAUAUCAGGAGGAACACCGGUGGCGAAGGCGGGUCUCUGGGCCGAUACUGACGCUGAGGAGCGAAAGCGUGGGGAGCGAACAGG